rnacentral:rRNA from 1 species
CAGCCGCCGCGGGAAUACGUAGGGCGCGAGCGUUAAUCGGAAUUACUGGGCGUAAAGCGUGCGCAGGCGGUUUCGUAAGACAGGCGUGAAAUCCCCGGGCUCAACCUGGGAAUGGCGCUUGUGACUGCAAAGCUAGAGUGCGGCAGAGGGGGAUGGAAUUCCGCGUGUAGCAGUGAAAUGCGUAGAUAUGCGGAGGAACACCGAUGGCGAAGGCAAUCCCCUGGGCCUGCACUGACGCUCAUGCACGAAAGCGUGGGGAGCAAACAGGAUUAGAUACCCGUGUAGUCCCUGUCUCUUAUAC